rnacentral:rRNA from 1 species
GAUGAACGCUGGCGGCGUGCCUAAUACAUGCAAGUCGAGCGAACAGAUGAGGAGCUUGCUCCUCUGACGUUAGCGGCGGACGGGUGAGUAACACGUGGAUAACCUACCUAUAAGACUGGGAUAACUUUGGGAAACCGGAGCUAAUACCGGAUAAUAUAUUAUACUGCAUGGUUCAAUAGUGAAAGACGGUUUUGCUGUCACUUAUAGAUGGAUCCGGUCCGCAUUAGCUAGUGGGUAAGGUAACGGCAUACCAAGGCAACGAUGCGUAGCCGACCGGAGGGGGGGACGGGCCACACGGGAACGGAGCAACGGCCAAGACUCCUACGGGAGGCAGCAGUGGGGAAUCUUCGGCAGUGGGCGAAAUCCUGACGGGGCAACGCCGCGGGGGGGAGGAAGGUCUUCGGAUCGUAAAACUCUGUUAUUAGGGAAGAACAAUGGUGUAAGUAACUAUGCACGUCUUGACGGUACCUAAUCAGAAAGCCACGGCUAACUACGUG